AGCAGCUGAACCCAAACAGCAGAGACUCAAAUUACAGGCUGUUUCUGGGGUACACAGGCACUCCCCACCCCACCCCCCUCCCUUUUCCUUUUUUUUUUUUUCUUUAAAAACCCCGGGCAACUGACCUGGUUUCUUAUUCCCUUUGAACUCAUGGGAGGCAGCUCUUCUUCAAAGCGGGGUUGUAAUACAGGCUCCUCUCUGGAUGUGGGUCAGGGCCACUGUUCCAUCUCCAAGACAGAGACGAGCUCGGAGCGCUGUCUUGGACGGCAGCCGUGUGGCCUGGGAGCACCUUUGGUAUUUUCUCCCUCCUUUGCUCCAAGCGCAGAAAAACAAGAAAGAAAAAGAAAGCAAGCAAGCAAGCAAGCAAGCAAGCGAGGGUAGAAGCGCUGACACUCAGAAGGCAAGACAUACAGUGGGCUCUUCGUGAACCUGAAGGUUCCUAACUGCAUCGUGGCCUCCAACCCAUCAGCCAACAAACCAGAACGUUCUGAGGCUUACGGACGUGGACACUUGGACGUCGGCUGCUAGCUCCCUGGACUCCGUCUCUCUCGUUCGUCCUGGAUCUUUUUUCUCAGUCGAGAUGCGCUGCCAGUCUCUUUAGACAACAUCAGGUCUGCAAAGCUCGCUUCAGAGAAGUGGGCGCACGGAUCUGCCACAUUCGACUUGUCGAAACCUCGCGACCGCGCUUUGGCUUUCUCCAGGCGUUAUUAACAACCGGCCUUGUGUUUGGAGACCAUUUUUUAAUUUUGCAAGGCUCUCGUGAGAACGCCAUCAGGGAGUUGUCAGAUGGAACAGUGCGGAGGAAGACGUCGGGCCACGGGGCAGGUGUGAGACGCAAAGGGGCCCUGCAUCCGGGCCACGCAGAGGUGAACACCAAUAAGAAGCAUCAGUGGGCGCCUUUGCUGGUUGGAGAGGGAAGGAAUGCCUGCCAUCAGGCUGAAGAUACAAACGGAGAGAGAGAGAGCGAUGGGCGAGUUUGCCAGCAGGAGCCCUGUGAGUGACAUGCCAUGCCUUCUGCUGGAUACGCUGAAACAACAAGGCCGGUGACUCUAACAUCCAGCAAAGAACGCCUAGAAACUGGUCCGAGAAGCAUAAGCAAUCCAUCAGAGAAAAUCAGAAGCCUUAACAGGAGACAUUCAAAUGCUCAAGAAGGUACAAAAUGUUAGUGACCAGAGAAAUGUCUAAAUUCUCACAUGGAAUUUUUUUUAAUAAAUAGAUCUUUAUUUUAUUUUUAUAAGAUUCA
rnacentral:lncRNA from 1 species